AUUUAGAUGGCUUAAGUUUAGAGCGUAGUAUUGAAGAUACUAAAGUAAUUUUUAAAAUUUUUAAAUA
rnacentral:tRNA from 1 species